rnacentral:rRNA from 1 species
CAUAUCAAUAAGCGGAGGAAAAGAAACUAACAAGGAUUUCCCCUAGUAACUGCGAGUGAAGCGGGAAAAGCUCAAAUUUAAAAUCUGGCAGUCUUUGGCUGUCCGAGUUGUAAUCUAGAGAAGUGUUAUCCGCGCUGGACCGUGUACAAGUCUCCUGGAAUGGAGCGUCAUAGAGGGUGAGAAUCCCGUCUUUGACACGGACUGCCAGGGCUUUGUGAUGCGCUCUCGAAGAGUCGAGUUGUUUGGGAAUGCAGCUCAAAAUGGGUGGUAAAUUCCAUCUAAAGCUAAAUAUUGGCGAGAGACCGAUAGCGAACAAGUACCGUGAGGGAAAGAUGAAAAGAACUUUGGAAAGAGAGUUAAACAGUACGUGAAAUUGCUGAAAGGGAAACGCUUGAAGUCAGUCGCGUCGUCCAGGGAUCAACCUUGCUUUUGCUUGGUGCACUUUCUGGUUGACGGGUCAGCAUCAAUUUUGACCACUGGAAAAAGGUCAAGGGAAUGUGGCAUCUUCGGAUGUGUUAUAGCCCUUGGUUGCAUACAAUGGUUGGGAUUGAGGAACUCAGCACGCCGCAAGGCCGGGUUUUCAACCACGUACGUGCUUAGGAUGCUGGCAUAAUGGCUUUAAUCGACCCGUCUUGAAACACGGACCAAGGAGUCUAACAUGCCUGCGAGUGUUUGGGUGGAAAACUCGAGCGCGCAAUGAAAGUGAAAGUUGAGAUCCCUGUCGUGGGGAGCAUCGACGCCCGGACCAGACCUUUUGUGACGGUUCCGCGGUAGAGCAUGUAUGUUGGGACCCGAAAGAUGGUGAACUAUGCCUGAAUAGGGUGAAGCCAGAGGAAACUCUGGUGGAGGCUCGUAGCGAUUCUGACGUGCAAAUCGAUCGUCAAAUUUGGGUAUAGGGGCGAAAGACUAAUCGAACCAUCUAGUAGCUGG